rnacentral:rRNA from 1 species
GGGUUGUGAGGUUAAGCGACUAAGCGUACACGGUGGAUGCCCUGGCAGUCAGAGGCGAUGAAGGACGUGCUAAUCUGCGAUAAGCGUCGGUAAGGUGAUAUGAACCGUUAUAACCGGCGAUUUCCGAAUGGGGAAACCCAGUGUGAUUCGUCACACUAUCAUUAACUGAAUCCAUAGGUUAAUGAGGCGAACCGGGGGAACUGAAACAUCUAAGUACCCCGAGGAAAAGAAAUCAACCGAGAUUCCCCCAGUAGCGGCGAGCGAACGGGGAGCAGCCCAGAGCCUGAAUCAGUGUGUGUGUUAGUGGAAGCGUCUGGAAAGGCGCGCGAUACAGGGUGACAGCCCCGUACACAAAAAUGCACAUGCUGUGAGCUCGAUGAGUAGGGCGGGACACGUGGUAUCCUGUCUGAAUAUGGGGGGACCAUCCUCCAAGGCUAAAUACUCCUGACUGACCGAUAGUGAACCAGUACCGUGAGGGAAAGGCGAAAAGAACCCCGGCGAGGGGAGUGAAAAAGAACCUGAAACCGUGUACGUACAAGCAGUGGGAGCACAGAGCAAUCUGUGUGACUGCGUACCUUUUGUAUAAUGGGUCAGCGACUUAUAUUCUGUAGCAAGGUUAACCGAAUAGGGGAGCCGAAGGGAAACCGAGUCUUAACUGGGCGUUAAGUUGCAGGGUAUAGACCCGAAACCCGGUGAUCUAGCCAUGGGCAGGUUGAAGGUUGGGUAACACUAACUGGAGGACCGAACCGACUAAUGUUGAAAAAUUAGCGGAUGACUUGUGGCUGGGGGUGAAAGGCCAAUCAAACCGGGAGAUAGCUGGUUCUCCCCGAAAGCUAUUUAGGUAGCGCCUCGUGAAUUCAUCUCCGGGGGUAGAGCACUGUUUCGGCAAGGGGGUCAUCCCGACUUACCAACCCGAUGCAAACUGCGAAUACCGGAGAAUGUUAUCACGGGAGACACACGGCGGGUGCUAACGUCCGUCGUGAAGAGGGAAACAACCCAGACCGCCAGCUAAGGUCCCAAAGUCAUGGUUAAGUGGGAAACGAUGUGGGAAGGCCCAGACAGCCAGGAUGUUGGCUUAGAAGCAGCCAUCAUUUAAAGAAAGCGUAAUAGCUCACUGGUCGAGUCGGCCUGCGCGGAAGAUGUAACGGGGCUAAACCAUGCACCGAAGCUGCGGCAGCGACGCUGAUGCGUUGUUGGGUAGGGGAGCGUUCUGUAAGCCUGUGAAGGUGUGCUGUGAGGCAUGCUGGAGGUAUCAGAAGUGCGAAUGCUGACAUAAGUAACGAUAAAGCGGGUGAAAAGCCCGCUCGCCGGAAGACCAAGGGUUCCUGUCCAACGUUAAUCGGGGCAGGGUGAGUCGACCCCUAAGGCGAGGCCGAAAGGCGUAGUCGAUGGGAAACAGGUUAAUAUUCCUGUACUUGGUGUUACUGCGAAGGGGGGACGGAGAAGGCUAUGUUGGCCGGGCGACGGUUGUCCCGGUUUAAGCGUGUAGGCUGGUUUUCCAGGCAAAUCCGGAAAAUCAAGGCUGAGGCGUGAUGACGAGGCACUACGGUGCUGAAGCAACAAAUGCCCUGCUUCCAGGAAAAGCCUCUAAGCAUCAGGUAACAUCAAAUCGUACCCCAAACCGACACAGGUGGUCAGGUAGAGAAUACCAAGGCGCUUGAGAGAACUCGGGUGAAGGAACUAGGCAAAAUGGUGCCGUAACUUCGGGAGAAGGCACGCUGAUAUGUAGGUGAAGUCCCUCGCGGAUGGAGCUGAAAUCAGUCGAAGAUACCAGCUGGCUGCAACUGUUUAUUAAAAACACAGCACUGUGCAAACACGAAAGUGGACGUAUACGGUGUGACGCCUGCCCGGUGCCGGAAGGUUAAUUGAUGGGGUCAGCGCAAGCGAAGCUCUUGAUCGAAGCCCCGGUAAACGGCGGCCGUAACUAUAACGGUCCUAAGGUAGCGAAAUUCCUUGUCGGGUAAGUUCCGACCUGCACGAAUGGCGUAAUGAUGGCCAGGCUGUCUCCACCCGAGACUCAGUGAAAUUGAACUCGCUGUGAAGAUGCAGUGUACCCGCGGCAAGACGGAAAGACCCCGUGAACCUUUACUAUAGCUUGACACUGAACAUUGAGCCUUGAUGUGUAGGAUAGGUGGGAGGCUUUGAAGUGUGGACGCCAGUCUGCAUGGAGCCG